AUGGCUGCUUCUCCAAGUCCUGGUGGGAACAACCUCAUGGGGUCAGACUUUCAGUUCUGUGUUGUGUACUCGGACCCAAAUCACCUUUUUUUUUUUUUUUCUAAAUGGCACCAUUUGAUAAAUAUGAGUACCCCACUGUCCUCUUCUCCCCCAUCAAGGAGCCGCCUCCUCUUUUCCAUCUCAAUGAGUUGCUCUGGAAGGACAACUUGUGCUUGUCUGCAGAGGAAGGGCACUGGUUAUACCUCUAUACAUAUUGGUCAGAGCAUCUGUGUUGAACUUACUCAGGACCUUGCAAAGAAAUGGGUGGCUUGGGACUUCCUUUGGCACCUGCAACAGCUGUGGCAUCUUAUGAGGAAGGGCAGCAUCUGAUUCUUCCUCCCUUACAACAUGCUGACAACAACCUAAAGCUUUCCAGCAAUGGGUAGAAUAGGAAGGAGCGAGAUGGGUGAAGGGCAGCUAAAGAUGCCAAGUGGAGGUCCAGAGCUAAUUUCAGAGGUCACGUGAGCUCAGGUUUGUGACUGGUCAGAUCUGGUGGACAAGUUUCAGCUGUCAGCACCUGGGGGCGGGGGGUCAAAUUCAUCAUAUCAGCAUCCUCAGGCUAAUGGCAUUUCUGUUCUUCAGCAAGUCAGAGCCCUAAUUCUGAAAGCCAGAGGGGGAAGAUGAAAAAGCUCCUCUCAAAGAGUUCAUCUUUUUCUUCUCUGACAAGAGGCAGUGGAAUGGAGUAUUUUUCCUAAGGAUUCUGUUUGAGGAUUCCAUCCUCCCAUGACGCUCUAAUUAACAAUGGCAACGAACGUCACCUCAGCCUUACUGUCUGGCUGCAGACUAGCCUGGUUGUUUGCAGAUGGAUUAUCUGCCUGGCUUCUGCCUCCAGCAGGGAGCCCACCACUGCCUGCAAGCCACGCGUGUUUUCAAGGCGGAGAUUAAGUGAGCUCAGGAGGAAAAAUGGCUCAGACCGUGACCAAAAGCUCUGGUUUCAUGUCUGCACCCAGCUCUGCAGUGAGUGACUGCCUCUCCUCACCUUGGUUUCUCCCAUGUGGAAGGCAGCACUUGUGAAAGCCAUGAUGAAAUAUAGCUUGAAAUAGGGCCCCCUGCAAAACUGGGGGCUCUCUGGAAAGGGUGCUCAGCAGGGGCUGGUCUGGGCGCUGCAAACUUCCAGGCGAAGAGGCGGCUGGGGGCCGGGGGAGCGCAGGCGUGGGAGCGGGAGGAGGCAUUUAAUUAUUUCAUUGGGGUUUUAUGCGCUGAGGGCGGCGUGCGCUGGGGCUGACGGAAAACCUGAGUGGUUCCGAAAAGCUGCCAACACCUUCCCCCCCCCAAAAAAAAAAAGAAAAAAAAGGGGGGAGGGAAGCACAGAAACCAGCAACCCCCCUCU
rnacentral:lncRNA from 1 species